GUCUCAAAGAUUAAGCCAUGCAUGUCUAAGUAUAAGCAAUUACAAAGCGAAACUGCGAAUGGCUCAUUAUAUAAGUUAUCGUUUAUUUGAUAGUACCUUACUACAUGGAUAACCGUGGUAAUUCUAGAGCUAAUACAUGCUGAAAAUCCCGACUUCGGAAGGGAUGUAUUUAUUAGAUACAAAACCAAUGC
rnacentral:rRNA from 1 species